CACGUAGUUAGCCGGGGCUUCUUAGUCAGGUACCGUCAUUUUCUUCCCUGCUGAUAGAGCUUUACAUACCGAAAUACUUCAUCGCUCACGCGGCGUCGCUGCAUCAGGGUUUCCCACAUUGUGCAAUAUUCCCCACUGCUGCCUCCCGUAGGAGUCUGGGCCGUGUCUCAGUCCCAAUGUGGCCGGUCACCCUCUCAGGUCGGCUACUGAUCGUCGGCUUGGUGAGCCGUUACCUCACCAACUACCUAAUCAGACGCGGGCCCAUCUUACACCACCGGAGUUUUUACCUCAGAACCAUGCGGUUCCGCGGUCUUAUGCGGUAUUAGCAGUCAUUUCUAACUGUUAUCCCCCUGUGUAAGGCAGGUUGCCCACGCGUUACUCACCCGUCCGCCGCUCAGUCACAAUUAUCUUCAUCCGAAGAAUCCAAUCAAAGUGCUUCGCUCGACUUGCAUGUGUUAAGCACGCCGCCAGCGUUCAUCCUGAGCCAGGAUC
rnacentral:rRNA from 1 species